rnacentral:rRNA from 1 species
AACGAACGCUGGCGGCAGGCUUAACACAUGCAAGUUGAACGCCCCGCAAGGGGAGUGGCAGACGGGUGAGUAACGCGUGGGAACAUACCCUUUCCUGCGGAAUAGCUCUGGGAAACUGGAAUUAAUACCGCAUACGCCCUACAGGGGAAAGAUUUAUCGGGGAAGGAUUGGCCCGCGUUGGAUUAGCUAGUUGGUGGGGUAAAGGCCUACCAAGGCGACGAUCCAUAGCUGGUCUGAGAGGAUGAUCAGCCACAUUGGGACUGAGACACGGCCCAAACUCCUACGGGAGGCAGCAGUGGGGAAUAUUGGACAAUGGGCGCAAGCCUGAUCCAGCCAUGCCGCGUGAGUGAUGGAGGCCUUAGGGUUGUAAAGCUCUUUCACCGAUGAAGAUAAUGACGGUAGUCGGAGAAGAAGCCCCGGCUAACUUCGUGCCAGCCGCCGCCGUAAUAC